rnacentral:lncRNA from 1 species
AGAUAGAUAGAUAGAUAGAUAGAUAAAAGAAAUGUAACCCAGCAGCAGUAUAAGGAAAUACAGUAAAAAGACUAAAAGGAGAAAGAGCUAUUGAAGUCAAGUGGACUUAGAAUGAGAAAAGAUCUGGGUGAAACAUUGGAGGUAGCAUAUGGGGAAGGACAAAAGCUCUAUUAACUCUUCAUAAAAUACUGCUUUCAGGAAUAAUAGAAGCCAGAAUCAAAGCUGUUUAUGGUUUUCUUCACAUUACUUGAUUUUUAUCUUUAGCUGAUACUAGUUUGGUCUAUCCAGAGUGAGACAAGAAUAAAUUCAUUAGCUAUAAUUUUAUAUUCUAAAGACUGUUUACACACACAAUUGGUAAUAAUUGAUUAUAGAAACCUAACUUAGAAGAGCCUGGGGAGCUAAGCCUUAUCAACAGGCUAUACUUAAAGAAACCUGGUGCUAGGUAAGGCAUCACCUUCCCCACAUAUUACCUGAACUUUCCUUAUUCUUGAUGGAGCAGUGGCAGCCACACAGGGUCCCAUCCUCAAAAGACCCUUCAAUCUCCUAAUAUUUUAUAUAUAUUUCCUUCAUAUAGGGUCCUAUAUAAGGGGGAAAAAACUUCAGCUCUCUUGGACACAGGACAACAGACGACACAGCAUCUCCCCACCUCAAAAAAAGCAAAACUCAACCCAGCUAUUCCUUUAAAAAGAUGUCAGUUAGUGAUCAACUCUGGAGAGAAAGCCAUACCACUGAGGCAGAGAAGUAUUUUAAAAACAUUUGUUUUGUACAUCUCAGCAUUUACACCAGGGAGCUGAUGCAUCUCUGAGCAAAUCUAUAAAACUACCUAAAUCAAGUAUUACAGCAAU